AAAGUUAUCGUCCUCAGCUGCCAGCAAGGCAUUAAUAAAGUCUUGCGGGAUUUCAUUAAACGCAAUCGGAGAGCGGCGCAUUUCACCAAACUCUGCGAUUAGUUUUGCAUCACUGCUAUAGACACGCAGCGGAAUCUGCAGCUGAAUACUGCGAAGGGUUUCUACGGAGGGGAGGCUGGGGCUUAGAUAAAGGAAUGCACCGCUCAAACUGAGAGCUAGGCCACAAAAAGCUGCAAUCCCGGCCCAAAAAAAGAAACGCAGAAGUCGCAUCAAGGUGUGUGGAUUUCCAAAUAA
rnacentral:antisense_RNA from 1 species